rnacentral:rRNA from 1 species
AUUGAACGCUGGCGGCGUGCUUAACACAUGCAAGUCGAUCGGUAACAGGUGUAGCAAUACAUGCUGACGAGAGGGCGGGACGGGUGAGUAAUGCUUGGGAAUCUGCCUAUUAGUGGGGGACAACCCGGGGAAACUCGGGCUAAUACCGCAUACGCUCUACGGAGGAAAGCCGGGGACCGCAAGGCCUGGCGCUAAUAGAUGAGCCCAAGUCGGAUUAGCUUAGNGGUAGGGUAAUGGCCUACCAAGGCGACGAUCGGUAGCUGGUCUGAGAGGACGACCAGCCACACUGGGACUGAGACACGGCCCAGACUCCUACGGGAGGCAGCA